GACAGAGGGUGCGAACGUUGUUCGGAAUUACUGGGCGUAAAGCGCGCGUAGGCGGCUUUGCAAGUCGAUUGUGAAAUCCCCAGGCUUAACCUGGGAACUGCAUUCGAGACUGCAUAGCUAGAGUAUGGGAGAGGGAAGUGGAAUUUCAGGUGUAGCGGUGAAAUGCAUAGAUAUCUGAAGGAACAUCAGUGGCGAAAAGCGACUUCCUGGACCAAUACUGACGCUCAUGUGCGAAAGCGUGGGGAGCAAACAGG
rnacentral:rRNA from 1 species